rnacentral:lncRNA from 1 species
GUAAACAACUGUCUCCCAGACAUCUUAUGUCCACUUGGUAAACAACUGACUCCCAGACAUCUUAUGUCCACUAGGUAAACAACUGUCUCCCAGACAUCUUAUGUCCACUAUGUAAACAACUGUCUCCCAGACAUCUUUUGUCCACUAGUUAAACAACAGUCUCCCAGACAUUUUAUGUCCACUAGGUAAACAACUGUCUCCCAGACAUUUUAUGUCCACUAGGUAAACAACUGUCUCCCAGACAUUUUAUGUCCACUAGGUAAACAACUCUCUCCCAGACAUUUUAUGUCCACUAGGUAAACAACUGUCUCCCAGACAUUUUAUGUCCAGUCCACUAGGUAAACAACUCUCUCCCAGACAUUUUAUGUCCACUAGGUAAACAACUGUCUCCCAGACAUCUUAUGUCCACUAGGUAAACAACUGUAUCCCAGAUAUUUUAUGUCCACUAGGUAAACAACUGUCUCCCAGACAUUUUAUGUCCACUAGGUAAACAACUGUCUCCCAGACAUCUUAUGUCCACUAGGUAAACAACUGUCUCCCAGACAUCUUAUGUCCACUAGGUAAACAACUGUCUCCCAGACAUCUUAUGUCCACUAUGUAAACAACUGUCUCCCAGACAUUUUAUGUCCAGUCCACUAGGUAAACAACUGUCUCCCAGACAUUUUAUGUCCACUAGGUAAACAACUGUCUCCCAGACAUUUUAUGUCCAGUCCACUAGGUAAACAACUGUCUCCCAGACAUCUUAUGUCCACUAGGUAAACAACUGACUCCCAGACAUCUUAUGUCCAGUAGGUAAACAACUGUCUCCCAGACAUCUUAUGUCCACUAGGUAAACAACUGUCUCCCAGACAUCUUAUGUCCACUAGGUAAACAACUGUCUCCCAGACAUCUUAUGUCCACUAGGUAAACAACUGUCUCCCAGACAUCUUAUGUCCACUAUGUAAACAACUGUCUCCCAGACAUCUUAUGUCCACUAGGUAAACAACUGUCUCCCAGACAUCUUAUGCCCAGUCCACUAGGUAAACAACUGUCUCCCAGACAUCUUAUGUCCACUAGGUAAACAACUGUCUCCCAGACAUCUUAUGUCCACUAGGUAAACAACUGUCUCCCAGACAUCUUAUGUCCACUAUGUAAACAACUGUCUCCCAGACAUUUUAUGUCCAGUCCACUAGGUAAACAACUGUCUCCCAGACAUUUUAUGUCCACUAGGUAAACAACUGUCUCCCAGACAUUUUAUGUCCAGUCCACUAGGUAAACAACUGACUCCCAGACAUUUUAUGUCCACUAUGUAAACAACUGUCUCCCAGACAUCUUAUGUCCACUAGGUAAACAACUGUCUCCUAGACAUCUUAUGUCCACUAGGUAAACAACUGUCUCCCAG